rnacentral:rRNA from 1 species
CAGUAGCCGCGGGAAUACGUAGGGUGCGAGCGUUAUUCGGAAUUACUGGGCGUAAAGCGUGCGCAGGCGGUUAUAUAAGACAGAUGUGAAAUCCCCGGGCUCAACCUGGGACCUGCAUUUGUGACUGUAUAGCUAGAGUACGGUAGAGGGGGAUGGAAUUCCGCGUGUAGCAGUGAAAUGCGUAGAUAUGCGGAGGAACACCGAUGGCGAAGGCAAUCCCCUGGACCUGUACUGACGCUCAUGCACGAAAGCGUGGGGAGCAAACAGGAUUAGAUACCCCCGUAGUCCCUGUCUCUUAUAU